rnacentral:rRNA from 1 species
UACGGAGGGGACUAGCGUUGUUCGGAAUUACUGGGCGUAAAGCGCACGUAGGCGGAUUUGUAAGUCAGGGGUGAAAUCCCGGGGCUCAACCUCGGAACUGCCUUUGAUACUGCAAAUCUCGAGUCCGGAAGAGGUGAGUGGAAUUCCGUAGUGUAGAGGUGAAAUUCGUAGAUAUUAGGAAGAACACCAGUGGCGAAGGCGGCUCACUGGUCCGGUACUGACGCUGAGGUGCGAAAGCGUGGGGAGCAACAGG